AACGCACGAGACCUGCGGACCUGCGGAGGGAUCAUUACCGAGUGAGGGUCCCCUCGCGGGGCCCAACCUCCCACCCGUGUCUACUGUACCCUGUUGCUUCGGCGGGUCGACCCCCCUUCCGGGGGCGCCUGCCCGCCGGAGACCCCCAACAUGAACACUGUACGAGAGUAUUGCAGUCUGAGUGGAUUGAUACCAAUCAGUUAAAACUUUCAACAAUGGAUCUCUAGAUCGGAAGAGCAC
rnacentral:misc_RNA from 1 species